rnacentral:snRNA from 3 species
AUGCUCACUUCGGCAGCACAUAUACUAAAAUUGGAACAAUAUGGAGAAGAUUAGCAUGGCCACUGUGCAAGGAUGACACGCAAAUUCGUGAAGCGUUCUCUCUCUUU